UACGUAGGGUGCAAGCGUUUGUCCGGAAUUAUUGGGCGUAAAGAGCUCGUAGGCGGCCCGCUAAGUCGAACGUGAAAUCCCCCGAGCUCAACUCGGGAACUGCGUCCGAUACUGGCGGGCUUGAAUCCGGGAGAGGGAUGCGGAAUUCCAGGUGUAGCGGUGAAAUGCGUAGAUAUCUGGAGGAACACCGGUGGCGAAGGCGGCAUCCUGGACCGGCAUUGACGCUGAGGCGCGAAAGCUAGGGGAGCAAACGGG
rnacentral:rRNA from 1 species